CUAAAAGCUGAAAGAUACUAAAAUUGUAACAAUACAGAGAUUAGCAUGGCCCCUGCGCAAGGAUGACAUGCAAAUUCAUGAAGCGUUUUUUU
ensembl:snRNA U6 U6 spliceosomal RNA